AUGACCAUCCUGUACCAGCCCAUGCCGGCCAGCUCCCCAGUCAUCUGCGCGGGCAGCCAAGAUCAGUGCAGCAACGCUGUGGGCUACCCCCACGCCACCCAUGACCUGGAGGGACCACCUCUAGAUGCCUAUUCGAUUUAAGGACAACACACCAUCUCUCCGUUCGAUCUGGCCAAGCUGAACCGGGUGGCAAGACAACAGUCUCACUUUGCCAUGAUGCACGGCGGGACCGGAUUCGCCGGAAUUGACUCCAGCUCUCCAGAGGUGAAAGGCUAUUGGGCAAGUUUGGAUGCAUCUACUCAAACCACCCAUGAACCCACCAUUCCAAAUAACUUAAUUGGCUGCAUAAUCGGGCGCCAAGGCACCAACAUUAAUGAGAUUCGCCAGAUGUCCAGGGCCCAGAUCAAAAUUGCCAACCCAGUGGAAGGCUCCUCUGGUAGGCAGGUUACUAUCACUGGCUCUGCUGCCAGUAUUAGUCUGGCCCAGUAUCUAAUCAAUGCCAGGCUUUCCUCUGAGAAGGGCAUGGGGUGCAGCUAGAACAGUGUAGGUUCCCUAGAUAACCCCUUUCUGCUGUUUUCCCAUGAUCCAACUGUGUAAUUUCUGGUCAGUGAUUCCAGGUUUUAAAUAAUUUGAAGUGUUCAGUUUCUACACAACUUUAUCAUCCACUAAGAAUUUAAAAAUCACAUUCUCUGUUCAGCUGUUAAUGCUGGGAUCCAUAUUUAGUUUUAUAAGCUUUUUCCUGUUUUUAGUUUUGUUUUGGGUUUUUUGGCUCAUGAAUUUUAUUUCUUGUUUGUCGAUAAGAAAUGUAAGAGUGGAAUGUUAAUAAAUUUCAGUUUAGUUCUGUAAUGUCAAGAAUUUAAGAAUUAAAAAAACGGAUUGGUUAAAAAAAAAAAAAA